rnacentral:tRNA from 1 species
AUCUAAAUAGUUUAAUUAAAAAUUUUAAUUUGUGGAAUUAAAGAUAUAGAAUUUAUUUUGGAUA